GACGAACGCUGGCGGCGUGCCUAAUACAUGCAAGUAGAACGCUGAAGGAGGAGCUUGCUUCUCUGGAUGAGUUGCGAACGGGUGAGUAACGCGUAGGUAACCUGCCUGGUAGCGGGGGAUAACUAUUGGAAACGAUAGCUAGUACCGCAUAAGAGUAGAUGUUGCAUGACAUUUGCUUAAAAGGUGCAAUUGCAUCACUACCAGAUGGACCUGCGUUGUAUUAGCUAGUUGGUGGGGUAACGGCUUACCAAGGCGACGAUACAUAGCCGACCUGAGAGGGGGAUCGGCCACACUGGGACUGAGACACGGCCCAGACUCCUACGGGAGGCAGCAGUAGGGAAUCUUCGGCAAUGGACGGAAGUCUGACCGAGCAACGCCGCGUGAGUGAAGAAGGUUUUCGGAUCGUAAAGCUCUGUUGUAAGAGAAGAACGAGUGUGAGAGUGGAAAGUUCACACUGUGACGGUAUCUUACCAGAAAGGGACGGCUAACUACGUG
rnacentral:rRNA from 1 species